GUGCAACUGGAUGUGGCAGAAACUUUGGACCAUUGGACAAAACCCUGAGAGGGAUUGUCAGAAGAUCCUCCGACCGAUCCUGAGGAAAUCUCAUACACUGAUGGAAGCAGCUUUGUCUUAGAUGGAAAAAGAAGAGCUGGAUAUGCAGUAGUCUCCAAUUUUGAGAUCAUAGAGGCUAAACCUUUGCCACCAGAGUCAGCAGAAAGAAGACCAGAUUGCCUUGGAGAAGGGUCUCUGAAGGAAGGUGGGCCUAGAGAUGGGUCAGGGAGAGAGAGAAACAGGGAGGGUACAGCAGACAUUUGGCUAGGCCUGGAGUGGAGACGGUGCACAGACAAGGAUCCCUUGCAGGGUGAAGGAGGCAGAGAACCCAAAAUGAACCUGGUUCCAACAUAGGAGCUGGACAGAAGGACAAAGAACAUGUUUAUGAAUGAAGAAGAAAAUCAGUUCA